rnacentral:rRNA from 1 species
UCCCGCCGGCGACCGGCGCACAGGUGAGUAACACGUAUGAAACCUGCCCGUAGCAGGGGGAUAAGCGGAAGAAAUUCCGUCUAAUACCGCGUAACAACCCGAGGAGGCAUCUCCUCGGGUUUAAAGGAAGCGAUUCCGGCUACGGAUGGUCAUGCGUCGCAUUAGCUAGUUGGCGGGGUAACGGCCCACCAAGGCGACGAUGCGUAGGGGUUCUGAGAGGAAGGUCCCCCACCACUGGUACUGAGACACGGACCAGACUCCUACGGGAGGCAGCAG